AACGAACGCUGGCGGCAUGCCUAACACAUGCCAGUCGAACGAGACCUUCGGGUCUAGUGGCGCACGGGUGCGUAACGCAUGGGAACCUGCCCUUAGGUUCGGAAUAACUCCCCGAAAGGGGUGCUAAUACCGGAUAAUGUCUUCGGACCAAAGAUUUAUCGCCUUUGGAUGGGCCCGCGUUGGAUUAGCUAGUUGGUAGGGUAAAAGCCUACCAAGGCGACGAUCCAUAGCUGGUCUGAGAGGAUGAUCAGCCACACUGGGACUGAGACACGGCCCAGACUCCUACGGGAGGCAGCGGUGGGGAAUAUUGGACAAUGGGCGAAAGCCUGAUCCAGCAAUGCCGCGUGAGUGAUGAAGGCCUUAGGGUUGUAAAGCUCUUUUACCCGGGAUGAUAAUGACAGUACCGGGAGAAUAAGCUCCGGCUAACUCCGUG
rnacentral:rRNA from 1 species